rnacentral:tRNA from 1 species
GGAUCCGUGGCUCAGUGGCACAGCAUCUGUUUGGCAUGCAGAAGGCCCCAGGUCCAGGCCUUGGCAUCUCCA